UAGUCGAUGGAUGAAAUGUUAAUAUUCAUUUACUUGGUAUAUUGGUGACGGAGUGACGGAGAAGGUUAAUAUGAGCCCAUUAUCGGAUUUGGGUGAAAGUACAAAGUCUUAAAAGCAGGUAAAUCCACUUUUUUCAAGGACAAUGUGCGAGACGAAUGAAAACUUCGGUUAGUAAACAAGUCAUAUACAUCACGCUUCCUAGAAAAACUUCUAAACUUAACAAUAUAUCAAUCUGUACCGAGAACGAACACACGUGUUCAAGUUGAAUAAACUAUGGCUAGCGAGUUAAUUAUCGUUAAGGAACUCUGCAAAUUGACCCCGUACGUUAGCAAUAAGGGGAGCUCAUCGCAAGAUGAGUCACAGAAAAUAGCGAGAAGGGACUGUUUAUCAAAAACACAGCUUUAUGCCAAAUCGUAAGAUGAUGUAUAUGAGGCGACACCUGCCCAGUGCUGGAAGGUUAAGGAAGCGAGUGCAAGCUUGUGACCGAAGCCCCAGUGAACGGCGGCCGUAACUAUAACGGUCCUAAGGUAGCAAAAUUCCUUGUCGGGUAAAUUCCGUCCCGCUUGAAAGGUGCAACCACUUCUUGACUGUCUCGACGAUACACUCGGUGAAAUCCUGGUAGGAGUGAAGACGCUCCUUUGGCGUGGUGGGACGGAAAGACCCCAUGAAGCUUUACUGUAACUUAGCAUUGUCUGAUUAAUUGAUAUUUAAAGCAUAGGUAGGAGACUUUGAUAUAACGCCGCUAGGUGUUAUGGAGUCAACAAGUGUAAUACUACCAUUAUUAAUUGAUUAGACUCACCCGCCGGUGUCAUCCACCGGGGGAACAGUGUUAGGCGGACAGUUUGACUGGGGCGGUCGCCUCCCAAAAUGUAACGGAGGCGCGCAAAGGUACAUUCAGUAUGGUUGGAAAUCAUAUAGCGAGCGUAAUGGUAUAAAGUGUGCUUGACUGCGAGACGUACAUGUCGAGCAGGUAAGAAAUUAGGUCAUAGUGAUCCGGUGGUUCCGAAUGGAAGGGCCAUCGCUCAUCGGAUAAAAGUUACUCUGGGGAUAACAGGCUGAUACUGUCCAAGAGUUCAUAUCGACGACAGUGUUUGGCACCUCGAUGUCGACUCAUCUUAUCCUGGAGCUGUAGCAGGUUCCAAGGGUUCGGCUGUUCGCCGAUUAAAAAGAUACGUGAGUUGGGUUCAAACCGUUGUGAAACAGGUUGGUCCCUAUCUGCCAUGCCCGCAGAAAAAUUGAGAAGAGUUGCUCCUAGUACGAGAGGAUCGGAGUGAAGUUACCUCUAAUGUUCCAGUUGUCCCGCCAGGGGCAGUGCUGGGUAGUUACGUAGCGAACGGAUAAGCGCUGAAAGCAUAUAAGCGCGAAGCCUCCUUCAAGAUAAAUUUUUCCUUCCCGCAAGGGAAAUAAGAAUCGUCAUAGACUAUGACGUUGAUAGGAUACAUGUGUAAGUACCGCAAGGUAUUUAGCUGAGUAUUACUAAUAAUUCGAAAGACUUAUGA
rnacentral:rRNA from 1 species